rnacentral:sRNA from 1 species
GCUGGGUGUGGUGGAGCACACCUGUAAUCCCAGUAGCUCAGGAGGCUGAGGCAGGAGGAUCUGAAGUUCAAAGACAGCCUCAGCAAAUCAGAGAGCCCCAAGAAACCUAGUGAGACACUGUCUCAA